GGAACGAACCUCUUCAGAUUUCAAC
rnacentral:snRNA from 1 species